rnacentral:lncRNA from 1 species
AACAUUUCUGGAUCUUUGUGUAGCACAACUGGAGCUGUCACUGGUUUCUCCAAAAGAGAAUUCCCUUUCACUUAUCAUGGAUGUCCAAUCUUCUACAAGAGAAGAAGAAAGGAAUAUUACAAUAAUAUUAUUAAAAAGGUCAAGAAUCAACUGUAUUCAUGGAAGUGUGAGCUGCUAUCAUAUGGAGGAAAAGCUACUUUGAUUUCAUCAGUUUUACAAAGUAUGCCAACACACAUGCUAUCAGUGCUUGAUCUACCAAUAUCUUAGAACAUCUGCAUAAAACCUUUGCUCGAUUUUUCUGGAGCAACAAUGAUAAAAGAAGAAGUGGGCAUUAGAGUAAGUGGCAGAAUAUGUGCUUGACAAAGGAAGAAGGCGGACUGGGUUUUAGAUCCCUUUUUGAUGUCUCAAAAUCAUUAUUUGCCAAAUUUUGGUGGAAUUUUAUGACUACUAAAACACUCUAAACUAAUUACAUGUGGAAUAAGUACUGUAAAAAGGAUCUCCCAACUACUGUCCAAUUAGUGAGGGUUCACAUGUUUGGAAGAAAAUGUUAGAGUCCUGAGAAGAAGUAGAACAUGAAAUAUUACGAGAGAUGAAUAGAGGCAUUACCAACAUAUGGCAUAAAAAUUGGACUGGUCUAGGCUCAUUGUAUCAUGUUGUUCCACAAGACUUUGACUGCAAUGAAAACCUGAAAGAAGUUGAUGAAUUGAGAGAAGAAAAUGCUUGGAAUCAACACCUAUUGGAACAAACUUUUCCACCUGACAUUUCAGAACACAUCGGGCAAGAACUACACUUUGAAACAACUGAUGACCAUUGGGACACACCUAAAUGGAUGCCUACUGCAUCAGGAAGAUUUUCAGUAACUACUGCUUGGCAAUUAGUUCGCCACAGGGCAAACUUCAAUCAGGAUUACAAGCAAUUAUGGACAAAAGGGAUGCCCUUCAAAAUAUCAUUCUUUCUUUGGCGACUAUGGAAAGAAAAAAUUCCAACAGAUGAUAUGUGAAGAAGGAUGGCUACAUAGUGGUGUCAAAAUAUUGGUGAUGUAUUCAACCUCGGUCUAAAACUCUUCAACAUAUAUUCUUAACAAGCUCAACAGCAAAUAGAGUUUGGAGAGUUUUUGGACAAGCAUCAGGUAUAGUAGAUAACCUAGUACAGGUUCAUCAAGAUAUAAAGACAUGGUGGAAUGUGAAAUGCUGUCCAAAAUUAAAGCCCUUACUCCAGGCAGCCCCAGCAGUGAUUACUUGGGAACUAUGGAAGAUAAAAAAUACAAUGAAGCAUGGUGGAACAACAACCUACAGCAGGGUCAUUCAUGAGGUGAAUCAGACAUUGCAUUAUCUAACAAGGAUCAAAUAUCCUUGGUUAACAAACAUACCCCUUCGAUGGCCAGACAUGAUUGCAUUAUUCGAGGGGUAUAAACCCUAUGUGGUGACCAAGAGAGUUACAUGGAACUCACCAUACAAGGGCUGGUUCAAAUGCAAUAUGGAUGGAGCCUCAAGAGCCAAUCCAGGACAGAGCUCCUAUGGCUUUUGUGUGAGAGAUUGGAGAGGUGAUUUGGUUGUUGCUAAAGCAAAAAUGAUUGACGACACCACCAAUAUGGUUGCAAAAGCAAUGGAAAUUAAAGAAGGGUUGACUUAUGGUAUUACUAAUCAGAUUCAUCCUCUAAUAAUUGAGCCUGACUCACUUGCAAUGAAAAAUAUAAUAGAAGGUGAAUGGAAAACCCCCUGGUGCAUAACAAAGGAGGUAAAGAGGAUAAAGGGAAUGAAGGGCAAUUUCAAUGUCAUCUUCCAACAUGUUCUAAGGGAGGGCAACAUACUGGUAGACUUUUUAACUAACCUUGCUUUUUCUUCUGCAGGUACAACUAUAUUUAACUCAUUUUUGGAGUUAUCAAGUGCAGGUAGGAGGUUACUCAACCUAGACAAGGCCCAUAUCCCAAACCUUAGGAUAAGGGUAGCAAAGAGGAAAUCACCAGACUAGUUAUUCAAAGAUGUAGCAUGUUGUUUACCUGUACCAUGCUGUUUGAGUUUGACAAGAUUCUUUUACUAACAAUGAAUGUGACUUCUGUCAGCUGUCCACAACUUCUGCUGACCAUAUGCACUAAAGACAACAAUUGUUAUUCAACCAAACAACAUCUGGGUUGGGCGAAAAGAUCACAACUUACAAUUAUUGGCAAGUACUUAUCAAAUGCAGCUUCCUGCUUCGGCAACUUAUCGGUCUCAACUGGUCCUUUAGGCUGUGGAAUAUUCAUUCACUAUCUAGUAUUUUUGCACUCAUUUUACAUAGUUCCUAGACAUGAUAAGAUCUCAUACUAUCAGUUUUCUUCAACAAACAAUUACUGCAGCAGUAGACAUGAUAUUAAUUUCACCAAGAAUGGAUACAACAGUACUCAUUCUUCAACGCACAUUUACAUUCCAUCCCAAGCUAGUUAUCUGAGAAUUUUCGAUGCAAAUAUGAACCUAUUUACACUUGAUGUUUUGGACAGCUUGGAAAAAAUCCCAGACUGUAUGGAGAUGUGUCAUUUUCCAGUGGUGUUAGCAUUUUACAAUGUUCAUUCUGGAUAUGAUAGUUCACUAUAUGGAAGGAGUUGCAGUGGUUGUUCUGAACUAUGGGCGUUCAACUUUUACAUAGCUACUUGGUUGAUGGAAAGUACAGAAUCCAAAACUGGUUUCACGCAAGGAAAGAUCAAAGUUAGAUGCUCAACACAGCUGUUGUUAUUCCUGUUCUUCACCACUAUAAUAACUAUGUCCGAACUAUUAUUUUGUAUUUGUUGCGGAUUAACACACACCUACUUAGUGCUUUGUAGGUGUUACGUGGAGUUGUUUGCAUUGACUCUGCCACUGCAAGUAUGCUCUUACGAAACUUCAAAAGAUCAACAUUCAACAAAAAUAUCAUGAUGCACUGUUCCCACACAACACCUUACUAUUACUGGUUUAAUUUGGAAGAAGCUUCUAUUGAGGAGACUUACUAUACUUGAUUCUUUAGGACUGUAUCCUUUAUGUUUGGAGAUGUUUCGACAUUUAGUGGUAUUAGCAUUACAUAAUGCUCAAUCUGUGGUUGCCGCAUCACCAGAUGGGAAGAUAUAAUUCAAUUUUCCCAACUUUUGGUUUCCCCUACUACUGUGUUGCUGCCAACACAGUCAUUUCCCAGUGAUUCAAUUGUCCUGUCCUUGGCUGGUUUAUUGUUCAAAAUUUACCGCUUCAAACUUGAUCUCAACCAAAGAAAAAUCAAAUGCAUGUUUUCUGUAUCAGCAAUGUUGUUGGAGUUCUUCAGCCCCAAAAUGAAGAUGUCCAAUCUGCUUUGCUUUACAACUAGUGGAUUAAAACAUACCUACUUCAUUGGAUUACAACAAAUGGCACCCGGUGAGAGCUUUGUAGGUGCUACAAGGAAUUGUUUGCAACUUGUGUGCGAAUUCAUUAUCAUCGACAAUAGUUGGAUGUUUCAAAAUAGUAGCUUAGUACUUUUCAUUUAUCUUUAUGCUACUGCUACAUUGUAUUUGGUAGGAAUAACCAUUGGCUUUCUUUGUUUGAUUUAUUUCUCUUUUACUUGAACAUUGUGUAACUUUUUCCCAGUUUAGGAAUUAUUAUAUAUAACAGCUACUAGGUGAAUAACUUAGUAGUAUAUUUGCUUUUAAAAUAAACUACCCUUCCAACCCCUAUUUUUUAAAAUUUUCUUUUAGUAUUAGGCUUGGGCCAGAGGCCAACAGGCCCAAAAUCAAGGUCUAGCCCACCAAUCCUUUCUCAACUCACCCCCUAAUCUAGUGAGUCUGCCAAGACCAGGUCCAAUUCCAAACAAAUCCCAAGCGGCCAAACAAACUAGAUGUCGAAAUUCAAAAUUGAAAACUAAGUAAACCACUUUGAAAUUGAAACAAAUUCUAGAACUACAAUCUAUACUAGCAUAUGCAAAUAAUUGAGCAAUUAAAGUUACCUUAAAACUUGCAAUUACUAAUUGAAAUUACAGCAUGUAUUUAAUUAUCAAGCCACCUAAACACUAAUUGAUUCCAAAUUAUUGAUUAAACAUGCUCGGACAGAAUUCAUCGAGACACAUCAAUUAGAAAGAAUUAUACAGAAGGGGAGGAGUGUAUACCAAAUCUGCUAUACACCCGAUCAGCGUCAAAGAAAUGCGGUGAUUGUAAUGAAUUCUGGUGACGAUCAAUAGAACUCCGGUGAGCAAAGAGGAUUGUCACAUGAGCAUUGGCCGACAAAUGUUUAUGCGAUCCAGUGCUACAUGUAACAAUGCUCAUUACAAGCCGAAUUGAAGAAGAAAAGAUGAAGUUUGGGGAAGUUCGGCCUGUCUACGACGGUCAACGAUGUUUCGGCCACCGAAAAAUGGUAAAAAAAUGACCUCAAACGAAAGGUCUUUCCGAGACGUAUCAUUUGAUGUAAAAUUUAGGUAAAGAGGAGGUCGGGUUGAUAGUAAUUUAGCAAAGGGGCAAAAAAGUUGGGACUUUUAUUCCUAGGUCUUCUAAUCGGCAGGAUUGGGAGGUUUUUUGGGGGGAAAUGAUGUUGGAUUAAGGGUGAGGAGGUGGUGAGGAGUAUUUGAUAAUUUUUUGGGUGGAUUAGUGUUGAUCCGCCGCCGGAUGGCGAUUUUCGGGUAGUGGAAGACGGCGAAGUAAGGUGGCUAAUUUGAGAGAAUGAGAGAAUUGGGGGCAUCUAGGGUUUGGCAUAGUGGGGGGGCUGUUU